AUUGAACGCUGGCGGCAGGCCUAACACAUGCAAGUCGAACGAGUGGCGGACGGGUGAGUAAUGUCUGGGAAACUGCCUGAUGGAGGGGGAUAACUACUGGAAACGGUAGCUAAUACCGCAUACCAUCGGAUGUGCCCAGAUGGGAUUAGCUAUUCGGUGGGGUAAAGGCUCACCUAGGCGACGAUCCCUAGCUGGUCUGAGAGGAUGACCAGCCACACGUGAGCAGAGAUACGGUCCAGACUCCUACGGGAGGCAGCAGUGGUGGAUAUUGCACAAGGGGCUCAGGCCUGAUGCAGCCAUGCCGCGGGUAUGAAGAAGGCCUUCGGGUUGUAAAGGACUUUCAGCGGGGAGGCGUUACCCGCAGAAGAAGCACCGGCUAACUCCGUGCCAGCAGCCGCGGUAAUUC
rnacentral:rRNA from 1 species